GAGUUUGAUCCUGGCUCAGGAUGAACGCUGGCGGCGUGCUUAACACAUGCAAGUCGAACGAAGCACCCCAUCCGAAAGCGGAAGCAGCUUGCUGCGGAAGAUUUCACCCGGGGUGACUGAGUGGCGGACGGGUGAGUAACGCGUGGGUAACCUGCCCCAUAGAGGGGGACAACAGUUGGAAACGACUGCUAAUACCGCAUAGUAAGGAACUGCCGCAUGACGGUUUCUUGAAAGAUUUAUCGCUAUGGGAUGGACCCGCGUCUGAUUAGCCAGUUGGGGGGGUAACGGCCCACCAAAGCGACGAUCAGUAGCCGGCCUGAGAGGGUGAACGGCCACAUUGGGACUGAGACACGGCCCAAACUCCUACGGGAGGCAGCAGUGGGGAAUAUUGCACAAUGGGGGAAACCCUGAUGCAGCAACGCCGCGUGAGUGAAGAAGUAAUUCGUUAUGUAAAGCUCUAUCAGCAGGGAAGAAAAUGACGGUACCUGAGUAAGCAGCCCCGGCUAACUACGUGCCAGCAGCCGCGGUAAUACGUAGGGGGCAAGCGUUAUCCGGAUUUACUGGGUGUAAAGGGAGCGUAGACGGUAAUGUAAGUCUGAUGUGAAAGCCCGGGGCUCAACCCCGGGACUGCAUUGGAAACUAUGUAACUAGAGUACC
rnacentral:rRNA from 1 species